UCGUCUUCACCAGCAGAGAGUCCACCUCGUCAUCACUAGUAGAGAGGCCACCUCGUCUUCACCAGCAGAGAGUCCACCUCGUCUUCACCAGCAGAGAGUCCACCUCGUCAUCACUAGUAGAGAGGCCACCUCGUCUUCACCAGUAGAGAGUCCACCUCGUCAUCACUAGUAGAGAGUCCGACUCGUCAUCACUAGUAGAGAGGCCACCUCGUCAUCACUAGUAGAGAGUCCACCUCGUCAUCACUAGUAGAGAGUCCACCUCGUCAUCACUAGUAGAGAGGCCACCUCGUCUUCACUAGUAGAGGCCACCUCGUCGUCACCAGCAGAGAGACUUUAUUGGCGUCAACCUUUGGCGAUUAGAUGUUUUCAUUUGUGAAGAGUUGAAACAGUAGAAAAGGGAUAAGACUGCAAACACACAUCACCUGUGAAUACACACAUGUUUAAGGUUAUCAGACCAAACAAUAACAGCUAGGUUACAUUCAUUUAAGUGUUCAAAUAAACGCAAUUAUUAAAAUUUGAACAUAAUUCACCGAAAUUUGUACAAAUAUGAAAUAUCAAUAGAAAAACUAGAUUGUGAAUUUCAGUCACACAUUUACUUGCAUACCUUUUUAUCCGAGGCUCACAGGUGUCCCGAGAAACAGCUAAGAACGUUAGUGAAAGUGUCCUCUUCAAAACAAACAAAACACUUCCACUUCACAGUUGAUGGUAGAAUAACUUCAUGUUCAAAACAGGAAGUACUGGUUUCAGUAAAGCAAGUCUUGAUGUACGGUCUCUUAAUCUUGCUAGAAAAAACCCCGGAAAAGUUCCAAAUAUAUUUUCUAAAAGAAAAACAUGCUCCAUCAUAGUAGGUUCUUUCACCAACGCAAGUCUUAUUUAAAAAAAUAUAUAUAUCCUUGUUUACCUUCUUAUAUCUAACAAAGAAGAUCAGAGGUUCUUCUAUUGAGGCUUGUAAAGGUAGUGGAGUUUGGCUUGUCAAUUGAAACGUCGUUCAACGCUGAAAACAAAUGAAGUGUAGCAAUAAUCAUGCUGUAUUCAGUCUCUUUACAGCAAGACCAGGCAUCAAGUGUUAACAGGAGGCCAAGGGAAUCUACACAAUCCACAAAUCAAAGUCUAAACCCUUAAUCCAAAUAAGUCAAACACAUAUACAUAUAUACAUACAUACAUUUCCCAUUAUUUCACUGAAUACUAAAAAGACUAGGUUAAUUGGUACACCAUUUGCACGUUUUGCUACAGUAUUCCUAAUGAAUACAAUGGAGUUGAAUCUCUGGUAGGCUUGUUGACUCUGUGAGGUAUAGAAUGUGAGUCUAUUGACUUCAGGGAGACAGGAAAUUAGUCUUCCAUUAGGAACCAUUCUAAGUAUGGUCUUUGGGUCAAUUCAGAGUAAGCUUGUUGCAACUGUUGUCAUUGUAAUGUGUGCAUCAACCAGUUUGUGUAAUUUUUUCCACCGUUAGACUACAUCCUGUCCAGACUUUAGCUCCACUGCUUUAGUGUUUCUCUCUACCACACCUGCUCAACAGCCCUUCUUCUUUUUGACUACAACCCUGUUCUCUCUGCCCUGAUUUCAACACAAGUCUUUUUCACUGUCCAUUGUCCAGAGGCAUUCCAAAGAGCGAGUUUUCUUGAACAUGUCAAAGGUUACAAAUGCAACACUGACAGCACUUGACGUUUUGCAUAUUUUCUAAUACCCACAAACCCUAGGAUAUCUGAUCUGUAAUUCUGGGAUUUGUUUGAAUUUCUUAUCAGAACCAGUCUCGACUACAAAAUAUUUAAAAAGUUUGGCAAGAAUCAACCUAACAUAUUACAAUGACUUUAAUCUAUCUGCAUCAGACUCCUUUUCCUGGUCACGGUAAUAUUUUUCUCCAUUCUAUUUCCUGGCCGAGAGGAGAUUAAGUUAAAUCAAAUACAAUUUUAUUUGUCACACGCGCCGAAUACAACAGGUGUAGACCUUACUGCGAAAUGCUUUCUGACAAGCUCUUAACUAACAAUGCAGAUUUUUUUUAUUAAUUAAGAAAAUAUUUGCUAUUUAAAAAACAUAACUAAAGCAAGAUAAAAAAGUAAUACAAUAAAAUACCAUUAAGGAGACUAUAUACAAGGGGUACCGGUGCAGAAUCAAUGUGCGGGUGUACAGGUUAGUCGUGUAAAUUGAGGUAAUAUGUACAUGUAGGUAGGGGUAAACUGACUACGCAUAGAUUAUAAACAGCGAGUAGCAACAGCAUAAAAAAGGGGGGCAAUGCAAAUAGUCCGGGUAGCCAUUUGAUUAACUGUUUAACAGUCUUAUCACUUGGGGGUAGAAGCUGUUAAGGAGCCUUUUGGUCCCAGACUUGGCGCUCCGGUACCGCUUGCUGUGCGGUAGCAGACAGAACAGUCUGACAAUUUUUAAGACCUUCCUCUGACACCAGAGAUGCUCUGUGACUCAUCACAAUGAGGUUCUACUGGGAUGAAACAACAGAGAUGCUCUCUGUCUCGUCACAAUGAGGUUCUACUUGUCUGACUUCAUAGCAUUACAUGUCAUUGGUCUUCGUGGCUAUAAAACAUAUCAACUUAUUUAUUUUUCCUCAUUAAAUCUCCUCUUUUCUGUUACUCCUUUCAGUCUUUGGCUCAAGUGAAGCUGUAGUGACCUUCUGGUUACAUAACUUGUUACAUAACGUAACUUGUUCAACUUGCCUACCUGGUUAAAUAAAGGUGAAAUAAAAAUAUUUUAAAAAACAUCUGUGAAGUUGGGUUGAUUUGACUUUCAAAAGAACUCCUUUCUGCAGUCGGUAGUGGUGACUUGUGGGAGGCUGAAUACAUUUUUUUCCCGAAUAUUACUGGGUGUUGAUCCAUGCCAUGAUCAAGUGCUCUUCAGAUGUUCUGACGGUAUCUUGGUCUUCACAGAAAUAAACCACUUUGAUCUCAGAGUGAAGGUCUGGUCCAUUUUAUCCUGGCCAAGCAUUGCUGCUUCAUCAGUGGAGAUUGUUUCAAAUCGUCUCCAUGGCGAUAGUGUCUAACAUGAUGAAGAUAAACUCGUUUUUGUUCAUCUUGUUCCAUACAUUUUUCCGGGGAAAUAAUCUUAAAGCACUGUUUUUUUUGCUUUGGUUUGAAUCACAUUUGGUAUUACAAACAAUUCUUUUGAGAGUUUGUCCCUUCUUGUGAGUUGAAGUCUGUGUUUUUUAACCAUUCUUUUCACUUUACGAUAAAUCCAAAAUUGAAAUUGACUUCGUCUCUGAUUUUGCAAACUAAGGUCAAAAUUGUAUUCUAGAAUAGCAUAGAGAAUAUGCCCCCAUCCUUCUGCUUUUAGGGGAUAGGGUUUUAUUUUAGCAUAUUUAUACACCUCAAAUACUACACCGUUUGUCAGUAACUGAAAUUCCAGUUUCUUUUUAGAGGGUUUGAAUGCAACAUCAAGGUCCAGACCUAUUUCCUCACAGCGUGUGUAGCACGCGUUGACAACUUUUUUGGUGUUAGACGUCACAUUUGAUUGGUCCAAGUUGGUAACAACAAUUUGCUUUGUUUCAUCAAUACAAAGUGCAAGGUCAGUCUCAUCAGAGAUUCUCUCCUUCUUGACACAAUGAGAUUCUACUGGUCUGACUUCGAAACGGACUCCCUCCGUCUCCCUGGCUACGCACGUGUCCAUUUCUUUUUCCUUUUUCAUUAAAUCCAAUCUCCUCCUUUUCGACACUUCUUUCAUUUGAUCAUUCGGCUCAAAUGAUGCUGUAGUUACCUGGUUACUGGACAUCUCUGUAUCAUUCUUGAGUUUGCACGAAUUCUUCAAGAAAAAGUAUUCCUUUUCUAAUUCACAUCUCAGUCGGUGAUCAUGUAAUUUUAAAUUUACAUUGGGCUGCAAAGCUGCUCUUAACCUAUUAAUGAUAUCUUCAGCCAGGUCAGUUUUCCCACUUUUUAAAUCCAGAUCAAAAUUAUGCUCAACAACAUCACAGACCAUCUGCUUCCAAUUUCCACACAUUUGUGAGGUAAAAUCAGCCAAUUCAAUCAUUACCUCUCUGGUCAAUAGACGCAAGUCAAGUUUCUCCUUUUUCCCAAAUGUUGAUUUCACAUCAAGGUCAAGUCCUUUUUCCUUACAGAUUGGGUAGAGUUCACUCAAUGCUUCUUCUACUGUGGGCAUCAUGAAGGAUUGGUCCAUUGUCAUGUCUGUCUGAGUGCUGACAGUCUCCGUCUUGACAUGAUGGAUGACGCCCAGAUCUGACUUAUCCCUUGUGCAGAUAUCAUUAGGUCCAUUUUCAGGGUCAAGGAUUGCUGUCUCAGCACAUCGUGUUACAUCUGUCUGAGUAGAGAGGUUCUCAGUCGUCACAUGCAGAGGAGCUAUCAGGUCCACAACAGGCUUCUCCUUUAUGCAGAUGUCAAAAGGUGUAGGAUUUUCUGACACGCUGUUAUUCAAAUUGGACCGUGCAAACCGAGAUUUUCCCCAUGCGUUCAUUGUCUUUGAAUCAGGAAGUUCAAACACUUCUUUUAACCACUCAGGAUUUCUCCUCUUGGUAUACAUCUUCAGCAUGUCAUUUAAUUUUCUUUCUAUCUUGUUUGAAAAGUAACCUCGUACUUCAUUUUGCACACCAAGAUCAAAGUUGUAAUCUAGAAUAUCAAAGAUAACAUGCUUGUUAGAUCUAUUAAUGUUUUUAACAUAUUCAGACACUUCGAUCAUUACACCAAUUGUCAGUAAAUGCAAAUCAAGUUUCUGUCUCGCUCCAGAUCUAACAUGGAAAUCUAUUCCUAUUUCCUUGCACUUAGCAUAUGGAUCUUUCAAAUAUUUCCCAAAUCUUUUGGGGUUAGGUUUUGAGUAACAGCCACGGCACUGCCAUAGAUAUUUAUCCUCAACCGUUUUUUGGCAUUGCAAUCUUCGUCUUAAAUUGGUAUUGUAGUCUUCUUCUUCAUCUGAGGGAAAGUUCAAUGGCUCACAAUAUUCUGGAAUAAUAUUAGAUACAGAUAAAUUAUAGCCACUUUCUAUAGCAGGUGAGGUCAGCACAGAAGUAAUGGCAGUACUAUGGCCUUGGAUAUUAACAUUGUCUACAGGCAAUUCAUUAUUGGUCCGGGUCUGUUUUCGGCUAAAACCCUGUGACUUUGGGUUGAUUUGAGCUUCAAAAGAAUCACUGAGGGUUGAUACAUGUCCUGACUCCUCUUUGAUCGAAUGCCUUUCAGAUGUGCUGAUGGUAUCUUGGUCUUUGCAGAAAUAAACAAUUUUGACACCCCUGUUCUCCCCAUCACUUGCUCCGGUCAUUUCAGGAAAAAUACGUAAAAUCUGCCCUCGACUUGUUGUUUGGGGACUUACGGUAGGUACACAUGUACGCUCUUUCAGUAAACCCACAUGGGAACCUGUUUCUGUGUUUUUUGACAAUAGAGAACUUGGGUAAUCUAUCCAGGCAUUAAUCGAAUCAGACCAAAUUAUUGUUUGGGAUAGCUCCCGCUCAUUUUCCUCUUGCUUAACGUCCAUUUUGCAUCAAUUAAAACAUGGACCAUAAAACUGAUGUGAGCAAGCUAACUUGAUAACUAGCUAUUAUCAUUUGCCCAAUAUAAGUUAGCUAAGUGGCUGCAAACGCCUAGAUCGUAUUUGGAGAUCCAGCGAACAUUUGCUAUCUACCUAGUCACAUGUUCUUUCGCUAGCUAACAAGCUAGGUUAGGCUACUACGGUUUGCAGCUGCGCUAACUAGUUAGUUGUACUAACCUGAAAGGCUAGUUAACGCUGUACCUUUACUGGUGGUGAACUACUGCAAAUCCCUUGGCCUCCAUUACGUUUGAAUGAAAUUCAAGACAAAAAAAAGACUUCCCAUAUCUUUUGAAAAAUAUGUCUGAAAACAUCCGUCAGCUAGCUAGUAAAAAGCGGUAUGCGCCAGAAUGUAACAUUUACGCACAGAGUUUCCGGGCCUUUGGUUUGAGAAGUUAACAAUUAUUUCUUAGUUUGUUCCUUUCCUCGAAACCUGAAGGCACAAACAAAAUUCGAGCCAAUGUCUUAAAGUAGUUGAAUUUGGUAUCGCUCCAAGAUUCGUGAGAAUUACAAACUAACACGUUUUGAUUUUCGACAACAAAGAAAAACGGCUUUAUAAUCGAAGGCGUGCCGUUGAUUUUUGGCGGCCUGCACAUGCGCAGUUCGACGCGAGACGUUGGUUCGACGCGAUGAC
rnacentral:lncRNA from 1 species